UAAGACUUAUUGUAACUAGAUGGGUCACUCUAUUUCUAUCCUCAAAACCAAAAUAUUGUGGUAUACUGUAGAAUCUCAGGUCACAGUAUCUUUAAACAGAGAAGGGUUAGAGUGAUCCUUUGCUCAGAAAGUCUGCACAUUAGCUACACAUUAGCAUAACUGAGUUUAAGACAAGAACAUUGUUAACAGAGCUUGUGUGAUUGUUCAACGUGAACGUGAACCUGAUCUGAUAUUUAGCUCAGAGUGAUCAGACUGAUUGAUCUGAUUGUUUAUCUCCUGUUUUCAGGCUCUUCUCUGAUCUCUGUGUCUCUGGUCCUGGUUCUUCUGGUUCUGAUCAUCAUUGGUCUCUUAUUACUGUUUCUCUAUAAGAAGCAUCAGUCUCGAGGCGGUGAUUCGUCAUCUCGGACUGAAGCAGAAACACUUGAAGCAGUUUCUCACACUGGAUGUGAUUAUGAUGAGAUUAAAGACACUCACAGACAAUUACCCACAAACCCCUCUGAUUCAUCGAACACUGUUUAUGCGACUGCUCAAUUACCCACAAACCUCUCUGAUUCAUCAGUUUACUCUACAGUUCAGGAAGCCACUGGUGACUCUCAGAUCUUCAUCACAUCUGCUGAGGAUCUGAAUUAUACCGUGGUUAAUUUCCAGAAGAAAGCAGACUGUCCUGACAGAGUCAGAUUGGGGAAUAAUCAGGAUUACAGUGAAUACACUGCUGUCAAUCCUCUCACUGUCUGAAGAGACACAGCAGACAAUCUCAAUGAGAUGAAGACUUUGAUUCUGGGUUUAAGCCUCUAUGAUUGGUAUAUGUGUUAUUUACGUGGCUCUCUUCUGCUCUGUAUUUAGGACUUGUAAGUCAGAUGUGAAGGAUGUUUAAAUGACAGUGCAGUGUUUAUUUUUCUGCAAAUGACACUGAAAUAAAUGAUCAGAAACCCUGGAGUUUUCGGUCAGAUUUUGAUGUAAAUAAGUAUUAAAAUGUUUCAGAACAGAAGUGUAAAAUUAAAGCAGAAUACGCAGCAGUGCUCAGUUAGUUUGAUUAAUGUCAAACUACACACCUGGCCACUCAUGGUUCUUGUAAAACAUUUUUAUUACGUCUCAGAGUUAAAAAGCUGACAAACUUUAACACAUGCUUCAACUAUUGUUCUUUACUGAGUGCUUAUUUAAAAAAAAAUGAUAAAAACUUAUAAUUUAAUAAACCAAGAUGAAGAAC